CAAUAGCGUAUAUUUAAGUUGUUGCAGUUAAAAAGCUCGUAGUUGGAUUUCGGAUGGGAUUUGCCGGUCCGUCGUUACGAUGUGCACUGGCCAGUCCUAUCUUGUUGUCGGGGACUAGCUCCUUGGAUUCACUUCCUGGGACUAGGAGCUGACGAGGUUACUUUGAGUAAAUUAGAGUGUUCAAAGCAAGCCUACGCUCUGAAUACAUUAGCAUGGAAUAACACGAUAGGACUCUGGCUUAUCUUGUUGGUCUGUGAGACCAGAGUAAUGAUUAAGAGGGACAGUCGGGGGCAUUCGUAUUUCAUUGUCAGAGGUGAAAUUCUUGGAUUUAUGAAAGACGAACUUCUGCGAAAGCAUUUGUCAAGGAUGUUUNCAUUA
rnacentral:rRNA from 1 species